GGCCUUGUAGUUGAAUAAACAACAUUAAAUUGCAGAUUUAAAAGUGUGUCCACACCAAGGCUU
rnacentral:tRNA from 2 species